CUACUACAGGUUUGUUUCCCUGUUCCACCCUAAGGAGAAAUUUAGGUGCCAGAUCCCUGGGCAGUACAAAGAUCCGGUGGUAGUUAUUUCCCAUAACUUACGGCUGAAGGUUAAAUUGGGGAUAGGGAAGUCUAGCUGGAGCCAAUUUGGAGAAUUAGAGGGCAUUAAUUUGCUGCUUUGACAUCUGAUUAUCUCAGCCGAAGGCUUCUCCAGAUUUCAUGAGGAGGAGAUCCGAAAUUGAAGCCAUCUUGGUUCAAUCCCAAAGUAAUGUAGGCUUCAUAGGACAGGGACUACCCCAGUAUGAGCCUUGGUCGCCACUGUCUCCAGUACCCCACUCCGUGACUGGCACAUCAUGGACACUCCGCCGUGAGGUGGGCAAUCCAAGGUUGAUGUGGCAGCUCUACGGUCAUCAGGGAUUCAGGCUCUGUCCGGCUUCUCUGCCAUCCCCGGAAUGUGACCCUCUUCCCCAGGUUCCAAGAUGAAGCACAAGCCAUUGUACCCACAUUCCAAGCGACAAAAUGGAGGAAGAGGUAAGAAGCGAAGGGCGUAUAUCAGCCAUCUUUUAAGGAAAUGUGCUCCGUGCUGUCACACGGCAUUUCCGCACAUGUCACAUUUGGCCACACAUAGCUGCAAGAGAGUGAGGACACGCAGACUUUAUUCUUUUUUUUCUUUUUUUCUCUCUCUUUUAAAGUUUAUGUAUGUAUCUUUGAGAGAGAGAAAGCGAGCACAAGCGGGAGAGAGACAGAGAGAGAGGGAGCAAGAAUCCCAAGCGGGCUCUGCACUGUCAGCACAGAUCUCGACACCGGGUUCAAACCCACAAACUGUGAGAUCAUGACCUGAACCGAAAUCAAGAGUCGCACGCUCAACCGACUGAGCCACCGGGCACCUGGGGCAGACUUUAUUCCGAUCUAGAUGAUCAUGUUCGCAGCUAAAAAACUGGCCUUCUUGGGGCGCCUGGGUGGCUCAGUU